UGCAAGUCGAGCGGUAGAGAGAAGCUUGCUUCUCUUGAGAGCGGCGGACGGGUGAGUAAUGCCUAGGAAUCUGCCUGGUAGUGGGGGAUAACGUUCGGAAACGGACGCUAAUACCGCAUACGUCCUACGGGAGAAAGCAGGGGACCUUCGGGCCUUGCGCUAUCAGAUGAGCCUAGGUCGGAUUAGCUAGUUGGUGAGGUAAUGGCUCACCAAGGCGACGAUCCGUAACUGGUCUGAGAGGAUGAUCAGUCACACUGGAACUGAGACACGGUCCAGACUCCUACGGGAGGCAGCAGUGGGGAAUAUUGGACAAUGGGCGAAAGCCUGAUCCAGCCAUGCCGCGUGUGUGAAGAAGGUCUUCGGAUUGUAAAGCACUUUAAGUUGGGAGGAAGGGUUGUAGAUUAAUACUCUGCAAUUUUGACGUUACCGACAGAAUAAGCACCGGCUAACUCUGUGCCAGCAGCCGCGGUAAUACAGAGGGUGCAAGCGUUAAUCGGAAUUACUGGGCGUAAAGCGCGCGUAGGUGGUUUGUUAAGUUGGAUGUGAAAUCCCCGGGCUCAACCUGGGAACUGCAUUCAAAACUGACUGACUAGAGUAUGGUAGAGGGUGGUGGAAUUUCCUGUGUAGCGGUGAAAUGCGUAGAUAUAGGAAGGAACACCAGUGGCGAAGGCGACCACCUGGACUAAUACUGACACUGAGGUGCGAAAGCGUGGGGAGCAAACAGGAUUAGAUACCCUGGUAGUCCACGCCGUAAACGAUGUCAACUAGCCGUUGGAAGCCUUGAGCUUUUAGUGGCGCAGCUAACGCAUUAAGUUGACCGCCU
rnacentral:rRNA from 1 species